UCCAGGGUAGCCUAGUGGACAUGGCAUCUGCCCACACUGUGGGUUCGAUUCCCAUCCUUGGAC
rnacentral:tRNA from 1 species